UACAGAGGGGGCAAGCGUUAUUCGGAAUUAUUGGGCGUAAAGGGCGCGUAGGCGGCUUUGCAAGUGACGGGUGAAAUCCCUCGGCUUAACCGAGGAACUGCCUGUCAGACUGUGAGGCUUGAGACCGGGAGAGGUGAGUGGAAUUCCUGGUGUAGCGGUGGAAUGCGCAGAUAUCAGGAGGAACACCGAUGGCGAAGGCAGGUCUCUGGGCCACUACUGACGCUGAGAAGCGAAAGCAUGGGGAGCGAACAGG
rnacentral:rRNA from 1 species